UGCGGGGUAGAGCAGUGGUCAGCUCGCUUGUCUCAUACGCAAGAGGUCGCAGGUUCGAACCCUGCCCCCGCAACCA
rnacentral:tRNA from 1 species